GCCAGCAUGGUGUAGUGGUGCAAGCAUUGGACUAAAACUCUGGAGGCCAGGGUUGGAGUCCCUGCUUGGCC
rnacentral:tRNA from 1 species